rnacentral:misc_RNA from 1 species
ACCAACACKGCUAUGAGASAGGUUUUUGUUCCCCCCGUGAGCCGGAACCGUCUUGGUGUCCUUGUUUCGGAUUUCCGCGGACCCCGUGCGGKACCUUUUGGGGGAUCAACUUGCGUCCCUUAUCCAUSAUGGAUGGAGGGAUAACGUUUUGCCCCACCCAGGCAAACGUGCCCGCAGCCCGAAGGCUUGGGGCCCAACUUGCGUUCCAAGACUCGAUGGUUCACGGGAUUCUGCAAUUCACACCAAGUAUCGCAUUUCGCUACGUUCUUCAUCGAUGCUMGAGCCGAAAUAUCCGUUGCCGA